rnacentral:rRNA from 1 species
GAUGAACGCUGGCGGCGUGCCUAAUACAUGCAAGUCGAGCGAACAGACGAGGAGCUUGCUCCUCUGACGUUAGCGGCGGACGGGUGAGUAACACGUGGAUAACCUACCUAUAAGACUGGGAUAACUUCGGGAAACCGGAGCUAAUACCGGAUAAUAUAUUGAACCGCAUGGUUCAAUAGUGAAAGACGGUUUUGCUGUCACUUAUAGAUGGAUCCGCGCCGCAUUAGCUAGUUGGUAAGGUAACGGCUUACCAAGGCAACGAUGCGUAGCCGACCUGAGAGGAUGAUCGGCCACACUGGAACUGAGACACGGUCCAGACUCCUACGGGAGGCAGCAGUAGGGAAUCUUCCGCAAUGGGCGAAAGCUUGACGGAGCAACGCCGCGUGAGUGAUGAAGGUCUUCGGAUCGUAAAACUCUGUUAUUAGGGAAGAACAAAUGUGUAAGUAACUAUGCACGUCUUGACGGUACCUAAUCAGAAAGCAACGGCUAACUACGUG